GAUGAACGCUGGCGGCGUGCCUAAUACAUGCAAGUCGAGCGAACGGACGAGAAGCUUGCUUCUCUGAUGUUAGCGGCGGACGGGUGAGUAACACGUGGAUAACCUACCUAUAAGACUGGGAUAACUUCGGGAAACCGGAGCUAAUACCGGAUAAUAUUUUGAACCGCAUGGUUCAAAAGUUAAAGACGGUCUUGCUGUCACUUAUAGAUGGAUCCGCGCUGCAUUAGCUAGUUGGUAAGGUAACGGCUUACCAAGGCAACGAUGCAUAGCCGACCUGAGAGGGUGAUCGGCCACACUGGAACUGAGACACGGUCCAGACUCCUACGGGAGGCAGCAGUAGGGAAUAUUCCGCAAUGGGCGAAAGCAUGACGGAGCAACGCCGCGUGAGUGAUGAAGGUCUUCGGAUCGUAAAACUCUGUUAUUAGGGAAGAACAUAUGUGUAAGUAACUGUGCACAUCUUGACGGUACCUAAUCAGAAAGCCACGGCUAACUACGUG
rnacentral:rRNA from 1 species